rnacentral:rRNA from 1 species
GACGAACGCUGGCGGCGUGCCUAAUACAUGCAAGUAGAACGCUGAAGAGAGGAGCUUGCGCUUCUUGGAUGAGUUGCGAACGGGUGAGUAACGCGUAGGUAACCUGCCUUGUAGCGGGGGAUAACUAUUGGAAACGAUAGCUAAUACCGCAUAACAAUGGAUGACACAUGUCAUUUAUUUGAAAGGGGCAAUUGCUCCACUACAGGUUGGACCUGCGUUGUAUUAGCUAUUAGGUGAGGUAAUGGCUCACCUAGGCGACGAUACAUAGCCAACCGGAGAGGGUGAUCGGCCACACUGGGACUGAGACACGGCCCAGACUCCUACGGGAGGCAGCAGUAGGGAAUCUUCGGCAAUGGGGGCAACCCUGACCGAGCAACGCCGCGUGAGUGAAGAAGGUUUUCGGAUCGUAAAGCUCUGUUGUAAGUCAAGAACGGGUGUGAGAGUGGAAAGUUCACACUGUGACGGUAGCUUACCAGAAAGGGACGGCUAACUACGUG